GGAAGAAAAGAAAGAAAAGAGGAGUGUUAGUGCUGCGAAUCUUCCUUCUUCUUAUGCUUCUUCUUCUUUUUCUUCUUUGCCUUCUUCUGUUUCUCCUUCUAUGACUUCUUCUGGGUCAGAGGGGAAUUUGACUUCUCUUGAACAAAAAAAUCCUGAAAGUUUACCUUCU
rnacentral:ribozyme from 13 species